GUCCGCCAGAAAAUUACGAGCGAAAGCCUAAAACUCAAAAGACUUGACGGUGUCCCAACCUUCCUAGAGGAGCCUGUUCCGUAAUCGACAACCCACGAUAUACCUAACCACCUUUAGAUAUUACAGCCUAUAUACCGCCGUCGCACAGCCUACCUUUUAAAAGAACACAAGUAGGCUAAAUAGUAUAAUACUAACAAGUCAGGUCAAGGUGUAGCUAAUGAGGUGGAGGAAAUGGGCUACAUUUUUUAUAUUAAAUAAUACGAACUUACUAACCCUGAAAAAGAAAAUGAAGGCGGAUUUAGCAGUAAUUUAAACAAGAAUAUUUAAAUUAA
rnacentral:rRNA from 1 species